CGGCUCUGGCAUCCAAAGAUCCUACCAUUGACAGUGGCACUUCCAGAUUGAAGGCAAGAAGAGCAUUCCUGCUAGAAAACCUGAAGAAUAUGAAAGAAAGACUCAGCAGGACUCCAUGGAAGAUGGUCACACAUAAGACUAGAUGGCAUUCCUUCUGUUUCACCUUCUAUCUGGCUCUAUUGAGUUCUCGAUGGCAAACGUAGCACAGAACAGAAGAUAUCGUUCACAGAAACGUUCCCCAGGACAGAAGAUAUCCCCCUGUACUCCAGGAUUCUCCAUUCAUUUCUGUGAUCUCUGGAAUUACACAGCAGUCUCAGGCUGAUUAGAGAGUGGUUGGUAGGGCUGACCUAUGGCACACUUGGCAGUGGCUGAUCCUUAAUACAUGUGUUUACAGGCAUAACCAACAUUCAAUAACAAAACCCCACUGAAGCAAUAAAUGUGCAGGUGUUGACA
rnacentral:lncRNA from 1 species